AUAAAGUAUCUGCAUGGAACCUUUAUUAAAGCUUAGGUGGCAAGAGAUGAGCCUGCGUCUGAUUAGGUUAGUUGGUGAGGUAAUGGCUCUACCAAGACUAUGAUCAGUAGGGGACCUAAGAGGGAAACCCUCCACACUGGAACUGAGACAAGGACCAGACUUCUACGGAAGGCAGCAGUGAGGAAUAUUGGUCAAUGGAGGAAACUCUGAACCAGCUAUGCCGCGUGUAGGAUGACAGUCUUUUAGAUUGUAAACUACUUUUACAUAGAAAUAAAAGUUACUACGGGAUGGUAACCUGAAGGUACUAUGCGAAUAAGUGUCGGCUAAUUUCGUGCCAGCAGCCGCGGUAAAACGAAAGACACAAGCGUUAUCCGGAUUUAUUGGGUUUAAAGGGUGUGUAGGUUGUUUAUUAAGUCAGUAGUGAAAGCUUACAGCUUAACUGUAAAAUUGCUAUUGAUACUGAUAAUCUUGAGUCAGAUUGGAGCGUCUGGAAUGUAUGGUGUAGCGGUGAAAUGCAUAGAUAUCAUACAGAACACCAAUAGCGAAGGCAGGAUGCUAAAUCUUCACUGACGCUGAGGCACGAAAGCGUGGGUAGCAAACAGGAUUAGAUACCCUGGUAGUCCACGCCCUAAACUAUGAUCACUAGCUAUUGGAAAAAUUAUAUUCAGUGGCCAAGCUAAAGCGAUAAGUGAUCCACCUGGGAAGUACGAUCGCAAGAUUGAAACUCAAAGGAAUUGACGGGGUUUCGCACAAGCGGUGGAGCAUGUG
rnacentral:rRNA from 1 species